GACGAACGCUGGCGGCGUGCUUAACACAUGCAAGUCGAACGGAAAGGCCCUGCUUUUGUGGGGUGCUCGAGUGGCGAACGGGUGAGUAACACGUGAGUAACCUGCCCUUGACUUUGGGGUAACUUCAGGAAACUGGGGCUAAUACCGGAUAGGAGAUCCUGCUGCAUGGGGGGGGUUGGAAAGUUUCGGCGGUUGGGGAUGGACUCGCGGCUUAUCAGCUUGUUGGUGGGGUAGUGGCUUACCAAGGCUUUGACGGGUAGCCGGCCUGGGAGGGUGACCGGCCACAUUGGGACUGAGAUACGGCCCAUACUCCUACGGGAGGCAGCAGUGGGGAAUAUUGCACAAUGGGCGGAAGCAUGAUGCAGCAACGCCGCGUGCGGGAUGACGGCCUUCGGGUUGUAAACAGCUUUCGCCUGUGACGACGCGUGAGUGACGGUAAUGGGGAAAGAAGCACCGGCUAACUACGU
rnacentral:rRNA from 1 species